rnacentral:rRNA from 1 species
UACGUAGGGCGCAAGCGUUAUCCGGAAUUAUUGGGCGUAAAGGGCUCGUAGGCGGUUUGUCGCGUCGGGAGUGAAAUCCACUGGCUUAACUGGUGGCUUGCUUUCGAUACGGGCAGACUGGAGGUAUGCAGGGGAGAACGGAAUUCCUGGUGUAGCGGUGAAAUGCGCAGAUAUCUGGAGGAACACCGGUGGCGAAGGCGGCAUCCUGGACCGGCAUUGACGCUGAGGAGCGAAAGCCAGGGGAGCAAACGGG